rnacentral:rRNA from 1 species
GACGAACGCUGGCGGCGUGCUUAACACAUGCAAGUCGAACGGUGAAGGGGAGCUUGCUCCCCGGAUCAGUGGCGAACGGGUGAGUAACACGUGGGCAACCUGCCCCAGACUUCGGGAUAACGCUUCGAAAGAGGUGCUAAUACCGGAUACGAACUCCUUGGGCAUCCUGGGAGUUGGAAAGUUUUUCGGUCUGGGCUGGGCCCGCGGCCUAUCAGCUUGUUGGUGAGGUAACGGCUCACCAAGGCGACGACGGGUAGCCGGCCUGAGAGGGCGACCGGCCACACUGGGACUGAGACACGGCCCAGACUCCUACGGGAGGCAGCAGUGGGGAAUAUUGCGCAAUGGGCGAAAGCCUGACGCAGCAACGCCGCGUGAGGGAUGACGGCCUUCGGGUUGUAAACCUCUUUCAGCAGGGAAGAAGCGAAAGUGACGGUACCUGCAGAAGAAGCACCGGCUAACUACGUGCCAGCAGCCGCAGUAAGAC